rnacentral:rRNA from 1 species
GAUGAACGCUGACAGAAUGCUUAACACAUGCAAGUCAACUUGAAUUUGGGUUUUUAACUUAGGUUUGGGUGGCGGACGGGUGAGUAACGCGUAAAGAACUUGCCUCACAGCUAGGGACAACAUUUGGAAACGAAUGCUAAUACCUAAUAUUAUGAUAAUAGGGCAUCCUAUAAUUAUGAAAGCUAUAAGCGCUGUGAGAGAGCUUUGCGUCCCAUUAGCUAGUUGGAGAGGUAACGGCUCACCAAGGCGAUGAUGGGUAGCCGGCCUGAGAGGGUGAUCGGCCACAAGGGGACCGAGACACGGCCCUUACUCCUACGGGAGGCAGCAGUGGGGAAUAUUGGACAAUGGACCGAGAGUCUGAUCCAGCAAUUCUGUGUGCACGAUGAAGUUUUUCGGAAUGUAAAGUGCUUUCAGUUGGGAAGAAACAAAUGACGGUACCAACAGAAGAAGUGACGGCUAAAUACGUG